rnacentral:rRNA from 1 species
UACGGGGGGGGCAAGCGUUGUUCGGAAUUACUGGGCGUAAAGGGCCAGUAGGCGGCCAACUAAGUCGGAUGUGAAAUCCCCAGGCUCAACUUGGGAACUGCAUCCGAUACUGGAUGGCUUGAAUUCGGGAGAGGGAUGCAGAAUUCCAGGUGUAGCGGUGAAAUGCGUAGAUAUCAGGAGGAACACCAAUGGCGAAGGCAGCUCGCUGGGACGGUACUGACGCUGAGACGCGAAAGCGUGGGGAGCAAACAGG